UUCCGUGAAAUCAGGUUUCGAACCUGGAACCUUCGAGAAAGUCGAAACCUUACCACUAAGCCACCACGGA